GAGAUGUUGGACCCAAACUGAGGAACCCGGAGCUGCCGCCAGGGGAUCGGGGCCGCGGGCACCCAGGGGAGCCGCUGCCCGGGCCGCCCGCCCUCCGUCCAGACCGCCUCCCUUCCCGGCUCGGGAGGAAACAGGAGGGGGGAUGUGAACAGCUGCGGGAGUCAGAGUCUCGGGAGCCGGAGCGGGCCCCCGCCCAGGCCCCCCAGCCCAGCCCAGCCCACGUGCCCACCGGUCCUCCUGCCCAGCCAGCCCGGGCACGCGGGAUUGUUAGAUGGAACACUGCUCCAACAUCACCCAGGCGCGGAGGGAGGACGCCCUGGUGCUCACCAAACAAGGCCUGGUCUCCGAGUCCUCCCCCAAGAAGCCCCAGGGACGGAGCAUCUUCAAGGCCCUUUUCUGCUGUUUUCGUGCCCAGCAUGUUGGACAGUCAAGCUCCUCCGCUGAGCUCGCGGCGUACAAGGAGGAAGCCAACACCACUGCUAAGUCGGACCUGCUCCCAUGUCUCCAGUGCCAAUUUUAUCAGAUCCCGGGGACCUGCCUGCCCCCAGAGAUGACAGAGGAAGAUCAGGGAAGGAUCUGUGUGGUCAUACAGGUCAUCGACCUGUAUGAAACCCUCGUGCACAGCUCCUUAAAGCCAAUCAACAACGGUGACUUCACAGUGCCUGUAGAAAUUGAGGGGGCCAUGCACCAGGUGUACGUGCUCAAGAAGCCUGACAUGGAUGAGUUCCUGAGACGGAUGGGGGAACUCUUCGAGUGUGUUCUCUUCGCUGCCAGCCUGGCCAAGCAUGCCGACGCCGGCACGGAUCUGCUGGACCGCUGCGGGAUGUUUCGGGAUCGCCUGUUCCGGGAGUCCUGUGUGUUUCACCAAGGCUGCUACGUCAAGGACCUCAGUCAUCUGGGCAGGGACCUGAGGAAGACGCUCAUCCUGGAUAACUCGCCUACUUCACACAUUUUCCACCCGGAAAAUGCAGUGCGUGCAGUCCUGGUUUGA